AAUGAACGCUGGCGGCGUGCCUAACACAUGCAAGUCGAACGAGAACAGUUCCCUUCGGGGGACCUAGUAAAGUGGCGCACGGGUGAGUAACGCGUGGGUAACCUACCCUUUCGUCUGGAAUAACGUUGCGAAAGUAGCGCUAAUACCGGAUAUGACCACGGGAACUUCGGUUUUUGAGGUAAAAGGUGGCGAUUCUUCGGAAGCUACCGCGAAGGGAUGGGCCUGCGUGACAUUAGAUUGAUGGUGGGGUAAUGGCCUACCAUAUUGUCUACGAUGUCUAGCUGGUCUGAGAGGAUGAUCAGCCACACUGGGACUGGAACACGGCCCAGACUCCUACGGGAGGCAGCAGUGAGGAAUUUUGCGCAAUGGGGGAAACCCUGACGCAGCAACGCCGCGUGAGUGAUGAAGGCCUUUUGGUUGUAAAGCUCUGUCGACCGGAAAGAAACCUUACGGGAAUAAUACGUCCGUAAGCUGACGGUACCGGUAAAGGAAGGACCGGCUAACUCCGUGCCAGCCGCCGCAGUAACAC
rnacentral:rRNA from 1 species